CCCACCCGCAGCCUAUUUCCUGCACACGGAGGCCCCUCGCAAAGUCUCGCGCCGUUCCGAGUCCGGCGGACGAAGUUGGCCAGCCCCACACCCCAAGGCUAUAGCCUACCCGCAGCCUAUUUCCUGCACACAGAGGCCCCUCGCAAAGUCUCGCGCCAUUCCGAGUCCAGCGGACGAAGUUGGCCAGCCCCACACCCCAAUGCUAUAGUCCACCUGUUUUUGUGGCCUUUUUCCGCUGGACGAACUUGGCGCUCCAGCCUUCGGGCGGUUGUUUUUGGGCGUGGCUGUGCAUGUGGCCUAUUUUUGGCACACAGAGGUGCCUCGCAAAGUGUCGCGCCAAUCCGAGUCCGGCGGACGAAGUUGGUCAGCCCCACCCCCCAAGGCUAUAGCCAACCGUUUUUGUGGGCUUUUUCCGCUGGACGAACUUGGCGCCCCGGCCUUCGGGUGGUUAUUUUUGGGCGCUGCUGUGCCCGCAGCCUAUUUUUUGCAAACGGAGGCGCCUCGCAAAGUCUCGCGCCAUUCCGAGACCGGCGGAUGAAGUUGGCCAGCCCCACUCCCCAAGGCUAUAGCCCACCCGUUUUUGGGGCAUUUUCCCGCUGGAGGAACUUGGCGCCCCGGCCUUCGGGCCGUGAUUUUUGAGUGCGGCUGUGCCCGCAGCCUAUUUUUAGCACACGGAGGCACCUCGCAAAGUCUCGCGCCAUUCCGAGUCCGGCGGACGAAGUUGGCCAGCCCCACCCCCCAAGGCUAUAGCCCACCCGUUUUUGUGGCCUUUUUCCGCUGGACGAACUUGGCGCCCCGGCCUUCGGGCCGUUAUUUUUGGGCGCGGCUGUGCCCGCAGCCUAUUUUUGGCACACGGAGGCACCUCCCAAAGUCUCGCGCUAUUCCGAGUCCGGCGGACGAAGUCGGCCAGCCCCACCCCCCAAGGCUAUAGCCCACCCGUUUUUGUGGCCGUUUUCCGCUGCACGAACUUGGCGCCCCGGCCUUCGGGCCGUUAUUUUUUGCCACGGCUGUGCCCGCGGCCUAUUUUUGGCACACCGAGGCACCUCACAAAGUCUCGCGCCAU
rnacentral:lncRNA from 1 species